UCCAUWAUCAAGAACGAAAGUUAGAGGUUCGAAGGCGAUCAGAUACCGCCCUAGUUCUAACCAUAAACGAUGCCAGCCAGCGAUCCGGCUGUGUUCCUCAAAUGACACGCCGGGCAGCUUCCGGGAAACCAAAGCUUUUGGGUUCCGGGGGAAGUAUGGUUGCAAAGCUGAAACUUAAAGGAAUUGACGGAAGGGCACCACCAGGAAUGGAGCCUGCGGCUUAAUUUGACUCAACACGGGAAAACUUACCCGGCCCGGACACAGGAAGGAUUGACAGAUUAAGAGCUCUUUCUUGAUUCUGUGGGUGGUGGUGCAUGGCCGUUCUUAGUUGGUGGAGCGAUUUGUCUGGUUAAUUCCGAUAACGAACGAGACUCUAGCCUACUAAAUAGACGUUCCGAUCAUCUCCGUCGGACGUUCUUCUUAGAGGGACAAGCGGCGUUUAGCCGCACGAGACAGAGCAAUAACAGGUCUGUGAUGCCCUUAGAUGUCCGGGGCCGCACGCGCGCUACAUUGAAGGAAUCAGCGUGUGCUUUCCCUGUCCGACAGGACUGGGUAACCCGUUGAACCUCCUUCGUGCUGGGGAUAGGGGCUUGUAAUUGUUCCCCUUGAACGAGGAAUUCCCAGUAAGCACGAGUCAUAAGCUCGUGUUGAUUACGUCCCUGCCCUUUGUACACACCGCCCGUCGCUACUACCGAUUGAAUGAUUUAGUGAGGUCUUCGGACUGGCGCUCGGAGCGGCCCUCGGGUCGCGCCGGCGUGCCGGAAAGAUGACCAAACUUGAUCAUUUAGAGGAAGUAAAAGUCGUAACAASGUUUCC
rnacentral:rRNA from 1 species